GCAGCCCCCAGACCGCUGGCUCUCUAAUUCUCACACCAAGCCUUGUUACUGGAUGCAGAACGGGUUCAGUUUGGGCCCGUAGUCGCCCUCAAUCCUGCCACCUUGCUUCCUCUACCUGAGGAGGCAGAACAGCAUGACUGCCUAAGUACAUGGAACCAGGCCGGACCUAUCGGACCAGCCUCUUCAGAAUGCUGACCACACAUGGUACACGGAUGACAACAGCUUCUUGACAGAGGGAGAGCGAAAGGCUGGAGCUGCGGUCACUACGGAGGACAAAGUGAUUUGGGCGAGAGCCCUGCCUGCUGGUACCUCCGCACAACGGGCUGAACUCAUCGCCUUGACUCAGGCGCUCAAGAUGACAAAAGGUAAGAGGCUAAAUAUAUAUAUACAGACAGCCGUUAUGCCUUUGCCACGGCACACAUCCACGGGGAGAUCUACCGGAGGCGGGGGCUGCUCACAUCUGAGGGUAAAGAUAUGGCUAAAAUUCUGGCCCUCUUAAAAGCCCUAUUCUUGCCCAAAAGACUGAAUAUUAUACAUUGUCCAGGACACCAGAAAGGGCACAACCCAGAGGCACGAAGAAACCGGCUGGCCGAUGCCACGGCGCGAGAAGCAGCCAUGAACAAACAAAUCUUGCCCUUAAAUAGCCCAGACCAACCCACGCCCCCACCAGUGGGACAAACCAGUUGGGUUUA
rnacentral:lncRNA from 1 species